rnacentral:rRNA from 1 species
UACGAAGGUCCCAAGCGUUGUUCGGAAUCACUGGGCGUAAAGCGUACGUAGGCGGAUUGUUAAGUGAGGGGUGAAAUCCCGGGGCUCAACCCCGGAACUGCCUUUCAUACUGGCAAUCUUGAGUCCGAGAGAGGUGAGUGGAAUUCCGAGUGUAGAGGUGAAAUUCGUAGAUAUUCGGAGGAACACCAGUGGCGAAGGCGGCUCACUGGCUCGGUACUGACGCUGAGGUGCGAAAGCGUGGGGAGCAAACAGG